rnacentral:lncRNA from 1 species
GGAUCCUCAUCGCUGCCUUUGAGGGGAGCCGCCUGACCUCAACAUGAGCCCAGCAGUCAUACCGCAGUGCUCUUGGCACUAAGAAAUAAGGGCAAAUGAAACAAGCUGUAGUUCACGGUGUAUAAUCACCUCAGUUUACCAAAGGAGAGGGAGGACGGAUCAAAGGAUGGAAAAAGAGACCUUCCAAGUUCAGCAUUCAGCAUCUCCACUUCAUAUGUUCACGUGGAAAAGCACCGAGACACCACUCCGGGGAGUACACAAUCACUAAUUACCAACAACCAGCAUAAUAGCACCCUGAUCUCUGGGACCUACCGCGACACAAAGAACUCAUAAUCAUCACAAGUCUUUCGUUCUGAUGCAUGAUCAGCAAGAACUAUGAAUGCUAACAUAUGCUGAAAGUUAAUUUAGAGUCUUUGAAAGAAAAUAAAAGCCUG